rnacentral:misc_RNA from 1 species
GAUGAAGAACGUAGCGAAAUGCGAUAAGUAAUGUGAAUUGCAGAAUCCAGUGAAUCAUCGAAUCUUUGAACGGACAUUGCGCCCGCCAGCAUUCUGGCGGGCAUGCCUGUUCGAGCGUCAUUUCAACCCUCGACCUCCCCUUGGGGAGGUCGGCGUUGGGGACCGGCAGCACACCGCCGGCCCUGAAAUGGAGUGGCGGCCCGUCUGCGGCGACCUCUGCGUAGUAAUACAGCUCGCACCGGAACCCCGACGCGGCCACGCCGUAAAACACCCAACUUCUGAACGUUGACCUCGAAUCAGGUAGGACUACCCGCUGAACUUAAGCAUAUCAAUAAGCGGAGGA